AACUGUCAAGUGUCGCAUCAAAACUGACAGUUGACGUAUCAUAAGUGAGAGACCACUGAGCUUUUGACAGUUUUGUGACAAAACAAUAAACAAUAUUUAGAAUUAUUAUAUUCAGUUGCCAGAAAUAAAAGAAUAGGUCGCCUCAAAAAUGGAAAACCAAGAAAAUGUUUUGAAAAAAAACAACCGUGCUGAUUUGUCAUCUUUGCCAACACGACAAUACCUUGAUCAAACAGUUGUACCGGUUUUGAUGAAUGCUCUCUCAUAUUUGGCGAAAGAACGUCCACCAGAACCCAUCGCGGCUUUAGCUGCAUUUCUUUUGAAAAAUAAGUCAUCAUAUGAAAGCUCUGAUAGCUCGUCACCUCCAGUGGCGGGAAAUCCUGAAGAUAAGCCAUAGACUAUUAUUUUUUGUUACAUCAAUCCGCUGUCAAUAAAUGUAUAAAUUUGA
rnacentral:misc_RNA from 1 species